UACGGGAGGCAGCAGUGGGGAAUAUUGGACAAGGGGGCAACCCUGAUCCAGCGAUGCCGCGUGUGUGAAGAAGGCCUGAGGGUUGUAAAGCACUUUUAGUGGGGAGGAUUGGCAUGUGGUUAAUAACCAUGUGCAGAGACGUUACCCACCAUAAACAGCACCGGCUAACUCCGUGCCACCACCCGCGGUAA
rnacentral:rRNA from 1 species